AAGGGGAGCGACAGAUCCUGGGCUGUGUCCCCCGGUGCCCUGGGCUCUGGGGCCUGCACCACUGGAAUCGCGCUCCCGGGGCUGUGCAGCCCCCU
rnacentral:pre_miRNA from 1 species